UUUUAUGUGAUAAAGGAAAUACCAUUCUGCUAUACUGAUUGCUACGAAAAUACAUUUUAUAGAGCCAGCCAGUCAGCACACUGGCACCAGUAACAACAGCCAAACCAACAGCAGCAACAACAGCAAAAGCGCAAUAGCAACGUCGACGAUGACUAAAGCGGAUGAUGGUGCCCAGUGUAAGAGCACGAAGCUGCUAUUGUCUCAAUGCCAACGUAUUGGUGUCGGUGCGCUGCAGUCAAAGUAAAAUUUGAACUAAGCAUGGCACCGACCAGCUCGACAUGGAAACGCCAAGGCACACUUCUCAGGCGAAUGUGCUGACUGACAGACUGGCUGGUCUGUUGGCUGGUUGACUGGAUGGAGCAGCUGUGCGAAUGGGUCGCAUCAUACGGUGUCGGCGUUGAAGUGCUCGAGAGGUGUCGGUGUGGCAGGCGAAGUGAAGCAUUUUGGUAUAGAAUUUUGUUUUCCUUACAUUAUUCUAUUUUCAGUGGAUUAAAUGUUGAUAUUGGUAGUCGGACGGUCGUCGGUUGUUUUGUUAGUCGCUGGUGGUGUUGCUGUUGGUGGGGUCGGUUUGCAACACUUAUGGUGCAGUAGAAUAUUAAGUUGUGUGGUGUAAUGGGAUGGUGUGGCUGAGGCGCUGUUGUAACUCAAGGAAAUAUUAUAGACAGUGAGAUUUUUAGCCACUCAAUGCCAAAUAAAUAAAUAUUAUAUAUUAUUAUAAGUAAUUGGCUUAUAAAACAUAUAUAAGUACAUAUAAGUAUGUCAUAGCAUUGGUCUCCAAAGCUGAGCCUAGGGUACAAAAGUAAAAAAUUACAGUAUAUUUCCUACUUAAAGAUCUCUUGAACAUACUAUGUACCACCAUGUAUGGCUAUACCAAAAGAUGGACCCAGUUAGACCUCCUUGGUCAUAUGCAAUUGCAUUAAAUGAUUUCCAGCUAAAAUUUCGGUAGCUUCAGAAGAUCCCGAGUAAAACCAAACUCUCUUUACAGGAGAUAACAUUAAGAUAACAAAAUUUACUCGAAAAUUUAUCAACACAAACUGAAAAUCAUCCUCGUCCUCAAGAGCCAACAUUUACUAAUGACCUCGUUGUACAACCUGAUUAAAAGCUUCGUUCCAGCUCCUUUUCUGAAAUAAUUCCAAGGUACUUUACUGUAGUUGCAAGCCGGUUCGAACUGUUAUGAUUACACAGUUCCUGUCGACACACUUAUUAAGAGGUCUAUGUACCAAAAUAUUUCUGAAAUUUAACGAAAUUUUCCGCUUAUUCGACUACUGUUUCAUAAUACUGAUUCUUCUUAGUCCGCUUGUACACGGCUACCCACUUUUGUUUAUAUGUAGUGGUAUUUGCGUGGCAUCUUCCCACCGUCACCAACACUAGAGUGCUGGUAUUACCCUCAGUCGAACUAGAGUUUUAGUUGUCGGUAAAGAAAACUGCACUGUAUUUUACGCCAAAGCUGUACAAAAAAGAAUAAAAGGCAAAAUAGAAAUUUCCAUCGAUCGAAAGAAGGUAGAAGUGCUCCGUUGCCGCGUUGUUCAGUUGCUUGGUAGCUAUUUGCUUUGCCUGACAACCAGCGCCAAUUCGAGCAACCGACAGACAGAAAGACUGACGGAACUGACUUAACUGACUGACUCGCUGCUAGCACUUGGCAACUAUUCAAAGUUGUUGGUUCUGUUGGUACACUUCGCCUGCUUGGCCGUGUCUUCGUUGCCAUUUCUCGCCAGCGCUAUGGAAGAAACCUCGGAGUCACAGCAAUGGCGGCAGUGUUGGUUCCAUAUCUGACACGAAAAUUCCACUUUGGAAUGAGAAAACACCAACUAGCAAGUACUGCAACAGCAAUACCAACUAUAAUAAUAACAACAACAACAGCAACAAAUGCCAUUACGUCCACGACGUAAUUUAGAAUUCUGAUGUUCACAUGAAGCUAGCACGGUCCGGUCACGGGAAAGCACAAGUAGCAGUAGCAGGAAAAGCAACAAAACAGAGACAUUAGCGAAGAACCAGCUCCACUCGUCGUAGCGGCAACGAAACCAGAGCUGGCACCGACACUGGCACUAGCACCGAUUCUAGCGCACAAUCUCGUAAUGCCAGUGCCUGAAUAGCAAAAACAAAAAUGAGAGAAAAAAGAAGCCAACGCUUACAUACAUAUGCGCUCAUAAAUAUUGCAUGUACCAUAUAUAUAUAUAAGUAUGUGUGUUGUCGUGCAACGACAUCUCGCCGAACAAUUUAAGUUUGAAUGAAUGAAUAGCUUGCGCAUAGUAAGUGAAGUGAGUGUGCGACAUUGCGGCCAAACAAAGUAUUUAAUAAUAAAAAGGGAUUUGAACGAUUUGCUGAUAAGGUGGCAUUGACAAGAUCGCAAGGUCGUUCAUUGAGCAGCUGGUAGGCGUGAUUUGUGUUGGGAAGAGGGUGGGAGGGAGAGCAAGAAAUAAAGGGGAAGAGAGCCAAAAAAAAAGCGAGAGAGAGAGGUAAACGUGGUAAUCGAGCACGUGGCAGGGAAAAUGACAUGAAUCGUUUAACAGCAUGCCGCUGCAACUAAAGAAAUGUAAAUUUAACAGGCUAGUGGGAAAAAUUUUAUAUCACAUGAGACAUGACAUCAACAGAGAGAUUUGAGAGCACUACAAUUACAUGAGAGCAGUGAAAAUGUUUUAGAAGAGUUAUUAUUUAAAAAGGAUUAAUAUUCCCAACCUAGCGCUUGAUUCUGUAAUAAAAAAUCUGCACUUAUAUAUUUUGUA